rnacentral:lncRNA from 1 species
UUUCUUACAAGCAGAAGAAAUGGAGUUUGGCCUUUGCUGAGAAGAAAUACUGGCCCUGCACUGAAACAGAAGCUGCACUGAAAUCACCUGCUGAGAGUAACACCAGAAGAUCCUUCUGUGCCAACCCAUGAACACUUCAUAGGAAUUGCUUGGGAUGAUGGACAGAACUGCAGCUGUGAGCCUCCUACCAAGGCACAGAAUAUGUUGGUGACUGUAAGGCUGAAGAGGAAAUGUUAUGUCCUGAAGGAGUCUCUGCACAGCUUAGUUCAGGUUUUGUGUCUCCCCAUAUCUUUCUACAGCUCACAGAGGGUGUCAAGGACAGCGAUCAACACCCAACCAUUUCCCAGAUGGUUCCUCCUACCCACCCGGUCUUGGAUGAGGUAGAUGUGCUGGGCCAUCUGCAGGAAACACCCUUCCCCUGGAUUGCAGGGGGGGAAGGAGAGGCUGGUGCUCCUCAUUGCCUCCUGCUUACAGCUGCUGUCUGUGAGGGCCAGGAACAGCUCAGGCAGGUGAAGAGCCUUAGUGUUGGAGAGAAUUUGGAACUGGCUGGGUAAAUGCUUCAGACAAAUGCUCCAAGUAACUAUGUCUUUUUAAAAAAAUAAAAUACGAAAAUAUUUUAAUGUUAAUUCCUGU